GAGGGUAUAGCUCAAUUGGUAGAGUGCAUACUUGGUCUAGCAUGCGCAAGGUCCUGGGUUCAAUCCCAGUACCUGCA
rnacentral:tRNA from 1 species